ACCUCCCAUCAAAAACAGACUCUAUGAUCUUGUUUGAUCUCAUAAGCUAAGCAGGGUCAGGCCUGAUUAGUACUUGGACGGAAGACCACAUGGGAAUACUGGGUGUUGUAGGCU
ensembl:rRNA 5S_rRNA 5S ribosomal RNA